GUGUCAUGGCGCCUUCCGGUUUUGUCGUUGAACCAGUGCGAAGUUCAAGCUACGUGUUUAAUUGCGCCAAACACUCUUUCUCGCGAUAAAUCUACUCUUCAGUGACGACAGUGAUGAACACAAAUGUUCACAGGUUCAUAGAGCACCUCGUGUCAAGGACGGGGAAGGCCACAUGCGAAAACGGGGAGAUGAAAACGAGAAGUCGGCAUGCUGAAUUGGGUAGGUGUACUUGCUGCCAAGGACCUCAAAGGAGGAUAAGUGACAGUGGUGGAAAUGAAUCUUCACUCCAGCCAAGUGCACAACAAGCUAAGUCAGGAACAUUAUUGAAAUGAACCAUAAGAUAAGCAUUUUAAAAACAGCUAAUAAAGCAUUUUCUUGGCUUCAUCAUCCAA